rnacentral:tRNA from 1 species
GCCCGGGUGGCGAAACCGGCAGACGCAGAGGACUUAAAAUCCUCUGGGAGGCGACUCCCGUGCGGGUUCGAAUCCCGCCCCGGGCA